GAUAUCCUUCAAUUUGUUUAUAACCAAUACCUUUUUGAUUGCUUUGGAUUACAUAGUUCAUCUUUAGAUAGCAAGUCAAUAAUUAUUUUGCCAUGUGGUACCUUUUUUGUUAAACACUGAUUUAAAAUAAUAAUUUAAAACCAAUGUUUUCUGUAACAGCACAAAUGCUACAUUGUUGCCACCUGCGAUAGAGAUUUAAAGAGGAGAAUAAGAAAGGUUCCUGGUGUUCCAAUCAUGUAUAUCACCCAACACAGGUACUCGAUAGAACGACUCCUUGAAGCUACAAUUGGUGGAGCACCAACAAUCUGAUUAGCCAUGCGCUGGUACCAAACACCAUCACACUUGCCCAAGUUCCUUGAUUUAGGAUGGAUAUGAGUACUGCCGUGCUGAAUCGAACUGAUUGUAACCACAUCAAAAUUGUGUGCCAACCUCCUCAGGGCGUUGUUUUCAUAAAUUUUCAAAGAGACUUUAGAAGUAAGUGUAUCGUUGUCCUUUGUUUUGAACUGAACUGUGGCCUACUUCCCAGCUUGCUUGGUGUUGUUAAUGCUGCAGACUCAAGGAUAUAUUUUAUGUAAUA